rnacentral:misc_RNA from 1 species
CCAAUAGCGUAUAUUAAAGUUGUUGCAGUUAAAAAGCUCGUAGUUGAAUUUCGGGACCAAUCUGCCGGUCGUGCCUCCGGUACGCACUGGUUUUAUUGGUUUCUCCCUUCUGACGAACCAGGAUGUCAUUAAUUUGGUGUCAUGGGGAAUCAGGACUGUUACUUUGAAAAAAUUAGAGUGUUUAUAGCAGGCUCACGCUUGAAUACAUUAGCAUGGAAUAAUGAAAUAGGACGUUUGACCCUAUUUUGUUGGUUUCUAGGAUCGACGUAAUGAUUAAUAGGGGUAGUUGGGGGCAUUAGUAUUCAAUUGUCAGAGGUGAAAUUCUUGGAUUUAUUGAAGACUAACUACUGCGAAAGCAUUUGCCAAGGAUGGUUUCAUUAAUCAAGAACGAAAGUUAGGGGAUCGAAGACGAUCAGAUACCGUCGUAGUCUUAACCAUAAACUAUGCCGACUAGGGAUCGGAUGAUGUUAAUUUUUUAAUGACUCAUUCGGCGCCUUACG